rnacentral:rRNA from 1 species
GUACUGGCAUUGUUGGUUUCUCCCUUCUGACGAACCAUGAUGUCAUUUAUUUGGUGUUGUGGGGAAUCAGGACUGUUACUUUGAAAAAAUUAGAGUGUUUAAAGCAGGCUCGCGCUUGAAUACAUUAGCAUGGAAUAAUGAAAUAGGACGUUGAUCCUAUUUUGUUGGUUUCUAGGAUUGACGUAAUGAUUAAUAGGGAUAGUUGGGGGCAUUAGUAUUCAAUUGUCAGAGGUGAAAUUCUUGGAUUUAUUGAAGACUAACUACUGCGAAAGCAUUUGCCAAGGAUGUUUUCAUUAAUCAAGAACGAAAGUUAGGGGAUCGAAGACGAUCAGAUACCGUCGUAGUCUUAACCAUAAACUAUGCCGACUAGGGAUCGGAUGAUGUUAAUUUUUUAAUGACUCAUUCGGCGCCUUACG